UACGUAGGGGGCUAGCGUUGUCCGGAAUCAUUGGGCGUAAAGAGCGUGUAGGCGGUCCGGUAAGUCCGCUGUGAAAGUCGGGGGCUCAACCCUCGAAUGCCGGUGGAUACUGUCGGGCUAGAGUACGGAAGAGGCGAGUGGAAUUCCUGGUGUAGCGGUGGAAUGCGCAGAUAUCAGGAGGAACACCGGUGGCGAAGGCGGGAUCCUGGGCUAGUACUGACGCUGAGGAGCGAAAGCGUGGGGAGCAAACAGG
rnacentral:rRNA from 1 species